rnacentral:rRNA from 1 species
CCAACAGGGAUUGCCUCAGUAACGGCGAGUGAAGCGGCAACAGCUCAAAUUUGAAAUCUGGCCCCCCGGCCCGAGUUGUAAUUUGCAGAGGAUGCUUCGGGCGCGGUGCCUUCCAAGUCCCCUGGAACGGGGCGCCGGAGAGGGUGAGAGCCCCGUACGGUUGGCGGCCAAGCCUGUGUGAAGCUCCUUCGACGAGUCGAGUAGUUUGGGAAUGCUGCUCUAAGCGGGAGGUAGACCCCUUCUAAAGCUAAAUAUAGGCCAGAGACCGAUAGCGCACAAGUAGAGUGAUCGAAAGAUGAAAAGCACUUUGAAAAGAGGGUUAAACAGCACGUGAAAUUGUUGAAAGGGAAGCGCUUGCGACCAGACGUGCGCCGGGGUGCUCAGCGGGCGUUCUCGCCCGUGCACUCGCCCCGGCGCAGGCCAGCGUCGGUUCGCGUGGGAGGAUAAAGGCGCCUGGAAUGUGGCUCCCUCGGGAGUGUUAUAGCCAGGCGUGCCAUGCUCCCCUGCGGACCGAGGUACGCGUUCUGCAAGGACGCUGGCGUAAUGGUCCCCAGCGACCCGUCUUGAAACACGGACCAAGGAGUCGAGGUUUUGCGCGAGUGUUUGGGUGUUAAACCCGCACGCGUAAUGAAAGUGAACGUAGGUGGGAGCUUCGGCGCACCACCGACCGAUCCUGAUGUUCUCGGAUGGAUUUGAGUAAGAGCGUAGGGCCUCGGACCCGAAAGAUGGUGAACUAUGCUUGGAUAGGGUGAAGCCAGAGGAAACUCUGGUGGAGGCUCGCAGCGGUUCUGACGUGCAAAUCGAUCGUCAAAUCUGAGCAUGGGGGCGAAAGACUAAUCGAACCAU